GGAAUUUAGCUCAGCGGUAGAGCGCUUGCCUAGCAAGCACAAGGCCCUGGGUUCGAUCCCCAGCUCCG
rnacentral:tRNA from 1 species